UGGGGAAUUUUGGACAAUGGGCGCAAGCCUGAUCCAGCAAUGCCGCGUGCAGGAUGAAGGCCUUCGGGUUGUAAACUGCUUUUGUACGGAACGAAACGGCUCCUUCUAAUACAAGGAGUUAAUGACGGUACCGUAAGAAUAAGCACCGGCUAACUACGUGCCAGCAGCCGCGGUAAUACGUAGGGUGCAAGCGUUAAUCGGAAUUACUGGGCGUAAAGCGUGCGCAGGCGGUUUUGUAAGACAGAUGUGAAAUCCCCGGGCUUAACCUGGGACCUGCAUUUGUGACUGCAAGGCUAGAGUACGGUAGAGGGGGAUGGAAUUCCGCGUGUAGCAGUGAAAUGCGUAGAUAUGCGGAGGAACACCGAUGGCGAAGGCAAUCCCCUGGACCUGUACUGACGCUCAUGCACGAAAGCGUGGGGAGCAAACAGG
rnacentral:rRNA from 1 species